AUUGAACGCUGGCGGCAGGCCUAACACAUGCAAGUCGAACGAGUGGCGGACGGGUGAGUAAUGGCCGGGAAACUGCCUGAUGGAGGGGGAUAACUACUGGAAACGGUAGCUAAUACCGCAUACCAUCGGAUGUGCCCAGAUGGGAUUAGCUCGUAGGCGGGGUAAAGGCUCACCUAGGCGACGAGCCCUAGCUGGACUGAGAGGAUGACCGGCCAAACUGGAACGGAGACACGGUCCAGACUCCGACGGGAGGCAGCAGUGGGGAAUAUUGCACAAUGGGCUCAAGCCUGAUACAGCCAUGCCGCGUGUAUGAAGAAGGCCUUCGGGUUGUAAAGUACUUUCAGCGGGGAGGCGUUACCCGCAGAAGGAGCACCGGCUAACUCCGUGCCAGCAGCCGCGGUAAUUC
rnacentral:rRNA from 1 species